rnacentral:rRNA from 1 species
AUUGAACGCUGGCGGCAGGCCUAUCACAUGCAAGUCGGGCGAGCGGCGGACGGGUGAGUAAUGUAUGGGGAUCUGCCUGAUGGAGGGGGAUAACUACUGGAAACGGUAGCUAAUACCGCAUACCAUCAGAGGAACCCAUAUGGGAUUAGCUAGUAGGGGGGGUAAAGUCUCACCUAGGCGCAGAUCUCUAGCUGGUCUGAGAGGAUGAUCAACCACACUGGGACUCAGACAGUGCCCAGACUCCUACGUGGGGCAGCAUUGGGACAUAUUGCACAAUGGGCGGAAGCCUGAUGCAGCCAUGCCGCGUGUAUGAAGAAGGCCUUAGGGUUGUAAAGUACUUUCAGCUGGGGUGCGUUACCCGCAGAAGAGACACCGGCUAACUCCGGGCCAGCAGCCGCGGUAAUUC